UGAGGAAUAUUGGUCAAUGGGCGAGAGCCUGAACCAGCCAAGUAGCGUGCAGGAAGACGGCCCCAUGGGUUGUAAACUGCUUUUAUAAGGGAAUAAAGUGGGUCACGUGUGACUUUUUGCAUGUACCUUAUGAAUAAGGACCGGCUAAUUCCGUGCCAGCAGCCGCGGUAAUACGGAAGGUCCGGGCGUUAUCCGGAUUUAUUGGGUUUAAAGGGAGCGUAGGCCGGAGAUUAAGCGUGUUGUGAAAUGUAGUGGCUCAACCUCUGCACUGCAGCGCGAACUGGUCUGUAACUGACGCUGAGGCUCGAAAGCGUGGGGAGCAAACAGGAUUAGAUACCCUGGUAGU
rnacentral:rRNA from 1 species